rnacentral:tRNA from 1 species
UCCUCCUUAGCUCAGUUGGUUAGAGCAUCUGACUGUUAAUCAGAGGGUCCAAGGUUCGAGUCCUUGA